rnacentral:lncRNA from 1 species
AGUGAUCAAGGGCACAACUUUCCUUCAACGAGCUCAUGCUCAGUAGUUUCCACCUACUGAGUACCGGGGUCCUCGGUCACUUGCUCGUCUACUCGUAGCAAUACAAACAAAUAUGGUAUAAGAGAAAUUAACAUCACACCAAACAAAGAACAUAAUGCACAUUAUUGAUUUACACAUUGUAACGAGAUCCUAGGUUCGAGAACCACUAAUUUCGAAGUUACAGUUAUAAAGUUAUGAUUUUCUAAAGGUUUAGGUGUUAAAUAUAAAACAAAAUGAGUGCUUGAUUUUAUCUCAUUGUUACAUAGUAAAAUAGGGUUACUAAGUGAUAGACAUAUUAAUAUGAGUCUAAUGGAACUAGAAUGGGUUAAUUUUGAGUUAAAUCAAAGAAGUUAUGGAGUUAUGAAGUUUUGGGAAUUAGUUUCCUUAUAAAAAUCAUUUUUUCUAAUUAAUUCAAUUAAGUUUGAGCUCUGUUUGGACUGUUGGUAUAAAAACUAGAGAACUGAGGAACUGUUUUAUCAAUUUCUAGGGCACAAAUGAAAUUAAUCUGCACAUGUCGUGGACGGUGGGUUCAUUUCUUAAAAAUAGAGGGACUCUUAUGUAAAAAUACACGGCUGAAGGGGGAUUAUCAUAUCUCGGCCGCCCGAUCAAUGUUGGACGACACAGAUUAGAUCCACUAUCAUCCGAACCGAUACAUUACGGACACCCUCAGAUCUAGAUCCAACGGCCAGGGUUCUAAACAGCACGGAUCGCUCGGCAUCCGCCCGAUCACCGAUUGACGGUCAGGGCGCGCUCCACCGAAACGGUAAGUUAGAUCUAAUCUGAGGCGUUGAUUGGUUGAUCGACGCUAUGCAGGCUUUCCACCCCUCACCAUGACAGCGCACGGCGGCGCCCGAGCGCAGACAACGGCGCCAUGGCCGACGACCACGAAAACCCCACCCCGAAGCCCAAACUUCUAUGCGUAGGGUACAUCACGAAGCGCAUGACUAGGCGUUCAAGUUUACGGGACCUACACCGCAGAUCAAGCCCUCAAUCGCACCGACGACGGCGCAGGGCAGAGGUGUGGAAAACGCCCAACUUCGAUGAGAAAUCUGACCUCCCCCGCGACCCAAACCCGGUUUCUAAUGUCUAAUACAUGAUGCUACCAUUAAAUCGAGUCAGUGGGGAAAGGAAUUACCUAAAACCGUGGAGUAGAAGGUUCUACCCACAGAGAGCUUCGUCCCGGCGGCGAGACUUCCGCUCCAAUGAGUAAUUUCCCCCACGCCGACGAGUAAUCCCACCCGAAGGCACUACGAUCACGCGCGGGGAGCGUUGGCGAAGCCCUAUGACUACCCUCUGAGGUUGUAUCGUGGUCGGAAGUCGCAAACGUCGACGGCGGCGAAGUUCCGC